UGAAUACGAGAUGCUACGGCAUUGAAGCAGUGUAUGUCAGACUUCCAAGAAAAGCUCGCAAUGUCAUAAACAAUAAAUGCCUGUACCAUAACCGACACAGGUGGGUAGGUAGAGUAUACUAAGGGGCGCGAGAUAACUCUCUCUAAGGAACUCGGCAAAAUGACUCCGUAACUUCGGGAGAAGGAGUGCCUUAUUUUAUAAGGUUGCAAUAACAAGAUCCAAGCAACUGUUUACCAAAAACACAGGUCUCCGCUAAGUCGAAAGACGAUGUAUGGGGGCUGACGCCUGCCCAGUGCCAGAAGGUUAAAGAAGUUGGUUAGCUUCGGCGAAGCUGAUGACUGAAGCCCUGGUGAACGGCGGCCGUAACGAUAACGGUCCUAAGGUAGCGAAAUUCCUUGUCGGGUAAGUUCCGACCCGCACGAAAGGCGUAAUGAUUUGGAUACUGUCUCGGAGAGGGGCUCGGUGAAAUAGACUUGUCUGUGAAGAUGCGGACUACCUGCACCUGGACAGAAAGACCCUAUGAAGCUUUACUGUAACUUGAGAUUGAAAUUGGACUUUAUUUGCGCAGUAUAGGUGGGAGACGUUGAGAAUAUUCUUGCGGGAAUAUUGGAGUCAUCAGUGAGAUACCACUCUUGUAAUGUUAGAUUUCUAACUUUGUAUCAUUAUCUGGUCAAAGGACAGUUUCAGGCGGGCAGUUUGACUGGGGCGGUCGCCUCCUAAACGGUAACGGAGGCGCACAAAGGUUUCCUCUGAACGUGUAGAAAUCGUAUCUAGAGUGUAAAGGCAUAAGGAAGCUUGACUGUGAGACCUACAAGUCGAGCAGGGACGAAAGUCGGUCUUAGUGAUCUGACGGUGCUGAGUGGAAAGGCCGUCACUCAACGGAUAAAAGUUACUCUAGGAUAACAGGCUGAUCUCCCCCAAGAGUUCACAUCGACGGGGAGGUUUGGCACCUGGAUGUCGGCUCAUCGCAUCCUGGGGCGGUAGUACGUCCCAAGGGUUGGGCUGUUCGCCCAUGAAAGCGGUACGCGAGCUGGGUUCAGAACGUCGUGAGACAGUUCGGUCCAUAUCCGGUGUAGGCGUUAGAAUAUUGAGAGGAGCCUUCUUUAGUACGAGAGGACCGAGAAGGACAUACCUCUGGUGUACCAGUUAUCGUGCCAACGGUAAACGCUGGGUAGCUAUGUAUGGAGUGGAUAACCGCUGAAAGCAUCUAAGUGGGAAGCCCACCUCAAGAUAAGUAUUC
rnacentral:rRNA from 1 species